rnacentral:rRNA from 1 species
GCCGAAAGACGGGGGUGCCCGCAAGGGAGCGCGGAGACAGGUGGUGCAUGGCUGUCGUCAGCUCGUGUCGUGAGAUGUUGGGUUAAGUCCCGCAACGAGCGCAACCCUCACCCCUUGUUGCCAUCAGGUCAGGCUGGGCACUCUAGGGGAACUGCCCCGGUCAACGGGGAGGAAGGUGGGGAUGACGUCAAGUCAUCAUGCCCCUUACGUCCUGGGCUACACACGUGCUACAAUGGCCGGUACAAAGGGAUGCAAGACCGCGAGGUGGAGCUAAACCCAAAAAGCCGGUCUAAGUUCAGAUUGGAGUCUGCAACUCGACUCCAUGAAGGAGGAAUCGCUAGUAAUCGCGCAUCAGCACGGCGCGGUGAAUACGUUCCCGGGCCUUGUACACACCGCCCGUCACACCACGAAAGCCAG